ensembl:misc_RNA 7SK 7SK RNA
GGAUGUGAGGCUGGCUAAGUGGGUGUCCCCUUCCUCCCUCACCACUUCACAUGCGUUCCUCUUGAAGCUGUGUGCUUGGUCGAAGAGGACAACUUUCCCUGAUAGAGGAGGACUGCUCUGCAGUUACAGGCAUGCAAAUAACUCCCUCUGGGAGGUGAUUAGGUCAUAACAGUGGAACUCUGCUGAUUGGGGUUCAUGCCCUUUUAAAAGAUGCCCCAGAGAGCUAGCUUGUUCCUUCUACCAGAGGAGAACAUAGCA